UACGUAGGGUGCGAGCGUUGUCCGGAAUUACUGGGCGUAAAGAGCUCGUAGGUGGUUUGUCGCGUCGUCUGUGAAAUUCCGGGGCUUAACUUCGGGCGUGCAGGCGAUACGGGCAAUACUUGAGUGCUGUAGGGGAGACUGGAAUUCCUGGUGUAGCGGUGGAAUGCGCAGAUAUCAGGAGGAACACCGGUGGCGAAGGCGGGUCUCUGGGUAGUAACUGACGCUGAGGAGCGAAAGCAUGGGUAGCGAACAGGAUUAGAUACCCGUGUA
rnacentral:rRNA from 1 species